rnacentral:tRNA from 1 species
GCGGUUCUAGCCCAAUAGGUAGAGGCGUCUGGUUGAGGGCCAGUCCAGUCGGGGUUCGACUCCCCGGAACCGCA